UGGGGAAUAUUGCACAAUGGGCGCAAGCCUGAUGCAGCCAUGCCGCGUGUAUGAAGAAGGCCUUCGGGUUGUAAAGUACUUUCAGCGGGGAGGAAGGGAGUAAAGUUAAUACCUUUGCUCAUUGACGUUACCCGCAGAAGAAGCACCGGCUAACUCCGUGCCAGCAGCCGCGGUAAUACGGAGGGUGCAAGCGUUAAUCGGAAUUACUGGGCGUAAAGCGCACGCAGGCGGUUUGUUAAGUCAGAUGUGAAAUCCCCGGGCUCAACCUGGGAACUGCAUCUGAUACUGGCAAGCUUGAGUCUCGUAGAGGGGGGUAGAAUUCCAGGUGUAGCGGUGACAUGCGUAGAGAUCUGGAGGAAUACCGGUGGCGAAGGCGGCCCCCUGGACGAAGACUGACGCUCAGGUGCGAAAGCGUGGGGAGCAAACAGG
rnacentral:rRNA from 1 species